UGAUGUAGUACUGAAGAUGUCUUUGAUAUUAGAAAUAUGCCUCUAUUUAGAUUUGAAAGUAAAAUUAAAAUCAAAUAGUAACUUGGAAUUGAAUAAAAAUAAUAAAUAAAUAAAAUUAAAAAAAUCAUUAAUAAGUACAAUCAAUCAAAACAUGUUUGUUUUUAAUAUCAUCAAAAAAAAUUUGGCAAUUUAAAUUUUGGAAGGAAUUGUCAAAGGAAAAUAUAAAAUAAAAUUAUUUUGUUGAUAAUAACAACCUUAUUCGUGUCUUUAAACCUUAUCAAUGUUGCACCUUAGAACCUUUAUAAUAUUACC
rnacentral:lncRNA from 1 species